UAUCCUAAGCAGUCUCUGACAGGCGGGAACUUCUGUGUGGCAGGCUGGGGCCCACAGGAGUGGUGGCUCUGACGAAGGAAGGGUGUGGAGCGAGAAGGAUAAAGACAAGAAAGAACCCACAAGCUGAAGCCAGAGUGUUUGGAGAUGGGCAGAAAUCCAGGCCAAUUCAGGAGGCCUCAGACAGGAUGGCAGAGCGACAGUCUCAUGUUCUGCAGUGGCCACAAAGCGGGACACACACCUGACUUAAUAUGGGAGGAGCCACGGUGGAGUGGGAACACUAGGGAGCAAGACCGGGCCCCACAGCUGCAUCAGGCCAAGACCACAAGACAAAGGUCUUAUAUGCAGCCCAAGCUGACCCUAGUAAGCUCUCCAUCCUCCUGUCUCAGCCUCCGAGAAGAGAACUUUGGUAGAGAAAGAACAUAAAGACAUUGGGGGAAGAUCUGAAACCCAGCCCACUUGUUCUAAGCCCAAAGCCCACCAUCUCCCCGUGCCAAGCAGAACCCUCUAGCCACCCUCAGAAUGGCAUUUGCAAAGCCGAGCUUCAAGUCUGAGCAUCUCUCUCUGGAGGUACAGCGGGAUCUACAUAUCUGGAGAGCUAGCUCCCUCCUAUCCAUUAUAGGAUACAACACACAACACGGGCUCACUGUCUAGUGCUUCAAGCGUCUCUCCUUACAGGUUUGAGUUAUUCAACUCUCCCAGCCUCCAUUAACGGAGUUUGGGGAGGAAAGCUAGCUGCCACAUAAGUCUUGAUGAGAAUAAAGUCUCUUUAUUGCUGUUAUUA